GAAACUCCUAAGCCUGCUAUAUGGUACAUAUAACGUGAGGAGGCCCCAGUGUAUUCAUCUCUCUAGAUGCUGAUAGAUUGCACUGGCUUGUCCUCACGGCCGUUCUAACCAAAUCCAACUUCCCACCGAAAUUCAUGUCGAUGGUGUCAGCUCUUUAUUCCAACCAAUCCGCCAAAUAGUGGAUUUCUGUCCUCCGAGUUUUUACUCAUCACUGGUACACACCAGGGAUGUCCCCUCACCCCCUUACUUUACAUCCUAGCAUUAGAACCAUU